rnacentral:rRNA from 1 species
GUACACUCCUGCGGGAGGCAGCAGUGGGGAAUUUCGGACAAUGGGCGAAAGCCUGAUCCAGCCAUGCCGCGUGCAGGAUGAAGGCCUUCGGGUUGUAAACUGCUUUUGUACGGAACGAAACGGCCUUUUCUAAUAAAGAGGGCUAAUGACGGUACCGUAAGAAUAAGCACCGGCUAACUACGUGCCAGCAGCCGCGGUAAUACGUAGGGUGCAAGCGUUAAUCGGAAUUACUGGGCGUAAAGCGUGCGCAGGCGGUUAUGUAAGACAGUUGUGAAAUCCCCGGGCUCAACCUGGGAACUGCAUCUGUGACUGCAUAGCUAGAGUACGGUAGAGGGGGAUGGAAUUCCGCGUGUAGCAGUGAAAUGCGUAGAUAUGCGGAGGAACACCGAUGGCGAAGGCAAUCCCCUGGACCUGUACUGACGCUCAUGCACGAAAGCGUGGGGAGCAAACAGGAUUAGAUACCCGGGUAGUCCCA